CACGUUCUUACUGCCUGCUCAGCCUGCAUUCAUCCCACCCACCACCACCCCCACACACACGCACUCCCACUCCCCCCUCCCCCAGGCCACCCCAAUCAUCACCAUGUCCGCCUACGUGUUGUCGACGCCGCUGGAGGCCCGCGUUGCGAAGUGCGCGAGCCUGCGCGCUGCGAACGCGGUGCCCGUUGUCGUGGAGGAGGCGCAGGCGCGCGGCGGCAAGGCACACUUCAGCGCGCUGGCGCGCGAGACGACGGUUGCGCAGCUUGUGGCCGCGGUGCGCGGCUUCCGCGGCGUGGACGCGAAGAAGCCGGUGGCGCUGACGGUUGCCGGCUGCAGCGUGUCGCCGUCGGCGACGCUCGGCGAGCUGCACGACGCGUGCAGGCGAGCGGACGACGGCAUGCUGUACGUCGCCUACACCGCGGAGCGCUGCAUGGGCGCUGCGGUGUGCACGCCGUGCGGCUCGUGUGCCUGGAACUAGCGCCGGGAAGGGCGUGACAGCGUGGUGUGGUAGCGCUCAACGCGUCCUGCGGCUCCCGUGGUAUUGUCUGCCUAGCCUUGCGGUGUGCUUGGCCCCACCGCUCCCCGGUGCGCUGGCUGUCUCUUCUGGGUACCCUCCGCCUUGCCUUGUGCUACCCCUCGCUGACAGCGUGCGGCGCACCGGAUGACUAGCUGCGUGUGUGCGGCCGGGUGCACCCCCUCCCACACACACACACACUGCCUCCCCGUGUGUGUGCCUGUGCGGGACGGCCCUCUGCUAUACGUUUUUCUUUGGUUCUCUUUUCUGUCGCCGCAUCGACGGCACCCCUCGUGUGUGUGUGUGUGCGCUCGCCAAGUGCCAUUUGUGUUGUUCGGAGGCGGGCACGUCUCGCGGGCGCUCCUGUCCCCCACACACUCCCUGCGGGCUGUGGUCGGCGACGCCUCGCUACCUGUGCACACGUCCCGCCCCCCACCACCCACACCGCCUUCCUCUCUAUGUGCACGCACUUGUUUUGCUUGUUUAUUCCUGAUAUUCCGCGACUAUGAUCUCUCUCCCGUGUGCACAGCGCUGCGGCGGGCCGACUCACGCCCCUCUCAUUCUUCUCUUUUCCCCUCCCCCCUCACUUUCUUGAUCUUGUUCGCCCCCGCUGUCCUCAUGUGUAUACGUGUGUCCCG
rnacentral:misc_RNA from 1 species